rnacentral:rRNA from 1 species
AGAGUUUGAUCCUGGCUCAGGACGAACGCUGGCGGCGCGCCUAACACAUGCAAGUCGAACGGAGCUUAGAGAGCUUGCUUUUUAAGCUUAGUGGCGAACGGGUGAGUAACGCGUGAGUAACCUGCCCUAGAGUGGGGGACAACAGUUGGAAACGACUGCUAAUACCGCAUAAGCCCACGACCCGGCAUCGGGUAGAGGGAAAAGGAGCAAUCCGCUUUGAGAUGGCCUCGCGUCCGAUUAGCUAGUUGGUGAGGUAAUGGCCCACCAAGGCGACGAUCGGUAGCCGGACUGAGAGGUUGAACGGCCACAUUGGGACUGAGACACGGCCCAGACUCCUACGGGAGGCAGCAGUGGGGGAUAUUGCACAAUGGGGGAAACCCUGAUGCAGCGACGCCGCGUGGAGGAAGAAGGUCUUCGGAUUGUAAACUCCUGUUGUUGAGGAAGAUAAUGACGGUACUCAACAAGGAAGUGACGGCUAACUACGUGCCAGCAGCCGCGGUAAAACGUAGGUCACAAGCGUUGUCCGGAAUUACUGGGUGUAAAGGGAGCGCAGGCGGGAAGACAAGUUGGAAGUGAAAUCUAUGGGCUCAACCCAUAAACUGCUUUCAAAACUGUUUUUCUUGAGUAGUGCAGAGGUAGGCGGAAUUCCCGGUGUAGCGGUGGAAUGCGUAGAUAUCGGGAGGAACACCAGUGGCGAAGGCGGCCUACUGGGCACCAACUGACGCUGAGGCUCGAAAGUGUGGGGAGCAAACAGGAUUAGAUACCCUGGUAGUCCACACUGUAAACGAU